rnacentral:rRNA from 1 species
GCAACUCGACUACAUGAAGCUGGAAUCGCUAGUAAUCGCGAAUCAGAAUGUCGCGGUGAAUACGUUCCCGGGUCUUGUACACACCGCCCGUCACACCAUGGGAGUCAGUAACGCCCGAAGCCGGUGACCCAACCAAACGGAGGGAGCCGUCGAAGGUGGGACCGAUAACUGGGGUGAAGUCGUAACAAGGUAAC